UCGACGAUGAACCGCUUUCGGGCGGGGAUUAGUGGCGAACGGGUGAGUAACACGUGGGCAAUCUGCCCUGCACUCUGGGACAAGCCCUGGAAACGGGGUCUAAUACCGGAUAUGACCGUCUGCCGCAUGGUGGAUGGUGUAAAGCUCCGGCGGUGCAGGAUGAGCCCGCGGCCUAUCAGCUUGUUGGUGAGGUAGUGGCUCACCAAGGCGACGACGGGUAGCCGGCCUGAGAGGGCGACCGGCCACACUGGGACUGAGACACGGCCCAGACUCCUACGGGAGGCAGCAGUGGGGAAUAUUGCACAAUGGGCGAAAGCCUGAUGCAGCGACGCCGCGUGAGGGAUGACGGCCUUCGGGUUGUAAACCUCUUUCAGCAGGGAAGAAGCGAAAGUGACGGUACCUGCAGAAGAAGCGCCGGCUAACUACGUGCCAGCAGCCGCGGUAAUACGUAGGGCGCAAGCGUUGUCCGGAAUUAUUGGGCGUAAAGAGCUCGUAGGCGGCUUGUCACGUCGGUUGUGAAAGCCCGGGGCUUAACCCCGGGUCUGCAGUCGAUACGGGCAGGCUAGAGUUCGGUAGGGGAGAUCGGAAUUCCUGGUGUAGCGGUGAAAUGCGCAGAUAUCAGGAGGAACACCGGUGGCGAAGGCGGAUCUCUGGGCCGAUACUGACGCUGAGGAGC
rnacentral:rRNA from 1 species